UUUUUUUGGUUGGUUUGGGUUUUUUGAGUACUCAGUAAACAAGACCUUUUUUUAUUCCUGUCAGAGAGGAGCUUCUGGCGCUCCUGGGGUCGGUGUGCUUCUGUCCCGUCCCCAGACUCCUGCUGACACCUGCUGGCCUCCCACUGGCAGGAGGCUCAGGAUGUGGGGGACUGGGUGGAAAAGAGGGACAGCCCUCUUCUCGUUGCUGCUGCCUUCUAGGCUCUGAGCUGAACUUUAGAGGAGAUUUAUAUAUUUAUAACAAAUAUUUAUUGGGCUGAGCCCACAUUAUUCCAUGACCAUAAUGAGAAUAUCUCUCCUCUGCACCUGGGAGGACUGUAAAUAUGAUCCUUAGUUGCAUCAGUAUUUCUUCUAGGCUCUUCUGAAAAUGGGACAGGCCAAGCUGGUGACAAUGGAGCAGAGAUCCACUUCACACCAACUGAGGGGGCUGGCUUGCCACAGGAUGAGGCAUCCCACAACCCACUCAAGGAGACAAGAGUUUCAGUGAGCAGAAGCUGUACAGUGUAAAUUAACUCAUCGUAAGUUCCAAAGUGAAACACCAGUGCUGGCAAUUUAGCAUCUUUUAUGAGAGGACAUUAUGAAACAUUAAUUUUUAGUUUCACUUCAGGGUUUCUGUCUCUACAGGGACACUCAGUGCAAUACUGGGGUAAAAAAGAUAUCAGGCUGGAUAAUCUAGUAUUUAUUUUCUAGCAAGCCAGAAUUAUACAAAAACCUAAUUUUCUGUUGCCUUGCCUGAAAUACACUCAUUUAGUUGGCUAAAAAUAAUAUGAAAUAUUUGCAUUUCUCUAAAUGAUGGUGCAGCCAGCACAGUAGCAGACACAUUCUGAAAAUUUGAGAGUAGGGUUUCAUGUCCUUCUCUGCAAGUGAAUGUCUUGUCAUCUGAACUGAAAGAAGUGGUUUUGGUUUUUUUUCCCCUUUUAGUUUACAGUUUCAAACCUCAAGAACUGCAACACGCAGUACUGCUGAUUUAACCCCAGCAAGCAACCAUGUAUCACACAGCCACUGACUCAUUCCCCUACCAACCGGGUCUGGAGAGAGAAUCAGAAGGGGAACAAUUAGAAAACCCUUGAACUGAGUAGCACCUGCAGUGUCAGUGUGAAAGGGACAGCUUUCACUGAGAAGCUGAGCAGAAGGAAAGAAGAGCUGCCAUCUUGUGUGGGGAACUGAGACUGCACCAAACGAGGCUACAAUUUUAAGACAAUUAAAAAUUCAUUAUACCUUUGGGAACUUAUUAAGUAAAGAUGGUUUCAUUUUACUUCCAUACUUUAUAUUAACUUUUAACUAAUAAAAAUAAAUCACUUCAACCAGGAGGGCUGUUUUUCCGGCUUCAGCAGUACUGCAAAUUCACUGGGAGGAUGCCAAGGAAGCGGGAGAGCAGUGACCCAUCCAUUCUCUACCAGAGAUCCUCAGCAGAGAAUUCUUCUCAGCAGAGUCAGCUGGCCACAGAGCAGGACAUCUUACAGCCAGGAACAGCAGCCCUGUAAGCAGAAAAUAUCUUUGUGACCUUUUGUAUUCAAAACAGAGUAACCACAACCAAAUUUAUGAUGUGUUACAUGGUGUUGUUGAAUCAGCUGGCAACAGGCAUCUUUCUCCAAGCCUCUUGAUAUGUUUCUAUAGGAUCUGUGUUCAGGGCUUUUUUUUGUGUUGCUGGAUGUGGAUGCUUAGCACAAUAUAUUUGUCAAUACUACAAGCAGAACAGUGGUAUUCCAGCUUCUGUUUUCCAAGUCUCUCCAAACUCCUAAACCAAGAUUAAAUAUGGCACCUACAGCAGCAGAUUAUGAGUAGGCCUAGAUGGACAAUACUCUAUGCAAAACCCUCACCUGCUCUUCCUCUGAUUGCCCUGGGCAAGGGAAGUGGGAUGUGCUGUUUCUGGAGACUAUAUGGGCAGCUGGCACUGUGUAACCACAAAUUGUGAUUCUGUGGCUGCAUUCCCUGUCUGUCAGUGAGCAAAUAUAGAAUGACACCUGUAGAAGCUAUCCCAGAUGUGCUGUUGAAAAUUUCUGAGAUCCAUACAGAUCUCAGAUGAGAGAUGAUCAUCAUGAUUACCAUUGAUGAGCAAGAGAAAGCAUUGCCCUUUUGUUUGGCCUAGGAUCUUCCUACUGCAUCCUAUGGAAAUGGAGCUGGAGUCUUUUCCAGACACUAAGGCAGCAGCAGCAAGAAUAAAAAACUCCUUACUUUUGAGAGUUACCAGCAGUAACCAAACUCAAGAACAUGAGGACCUUGAGGUAAAACCGAGUGUAUGCAAGACCUAGGUAGAAGAAAAGAGUUCCCCAGGAGUGUAGAGGUGAACAGUAAUGGAGUGUCUUAUUAUGACACAGCUGUUCCUGAUGUCUCCUCUCAUCCCAUCCAUACCUCAUGAAAUGGUAUCGACACAGACUCUGGUGCAGGGGUGUGUAACAGAAGGUGAUGCAAGAAAUGAUCUGGUCUAGCAGAGACAGCUCUUCACACUGUGAACAGAAGGAACCAGCAAAAAGGGAGUAACAGGAUUUGUUUUUCUUAGAUGUGAUGAAAAAACAGAUUGGUUUUCCUCUGUUCUACUUCAGAUUUGUGACAAAGAUUUUGCUCUGAGGUUUGAAACAGAAUUCCUUAAGCCUUAAUGAGUGAAGCUGUCAGGAAUGGCCCUCAGAUGUGGACAAAAUUCUUGUAUCCAGAGCUGAAAAAGAAGAAAUUACCAGAAAUGAGUAGAUUUCCCUCUCAAGUAAAAGAUGGAGAGUCCAUCAUUCACUUAUUAAUGAAAUAUAAAAUAUGGAAUUUUUACCAAAUCCAUGGUGGAUGUGGACUGUGUUUACAACACAUGUUUAUAGUUUCAGUUAUGCUGUGGUUUAAGGUAUGUUGUCCAUAUUGGGAAAGAUUCAGUCAGUUUGAAAGAAAGUUCUUCACCAACUUGGAUAUGUAAGUAAUCUUUCUUCUAGAAUUUAUUACAUUUUUAGUAUAAUCCUUUAGAACAGGAAAGUUUGUGGUCAACCUCAUGUUUAAAAGUCAGCAGUUAGGGUGUGAAAAUCAUGUUUCUGCAAUGGUAGGUUUUUUGGUGGGUGGAAAAAGAAAUGGGACUUCCUUUCAUUUACCUGAAGAGCCUUUGAUUUAUGAAGCAUAUUAUUUCAUAUUUCAUGAUGGACCUUUGACAAUUCUUUUCAUUGUGUUAACAUGUGACUUUAAAAGGAGCACUUGACUUUAAACAAUUUGGUGUGUUAAAAAUAACUUUAACUUUUAAUGAGGAAGUUUGGAAAAUCAGGAUUCUAUUGCUUAAAGGUGAGCAGGAGCAAACACAUUCAGUUCUGCUUCCUAAAAGGACUUUCUUAAAGACAUAGUUAUGAGAAGCCUAAAAUAAUACUCUCAAAUAAAGAACAUCUUCUUUCUCUUCUUUGAAUUGACUUUGGUCAAAAACAGUGUAGAGAAGAGUUGCAGGUUUUAGACUUUGUGGUGUUUGGAAGAGUUGCUUAUUUGCCAUAGCCACUCUGAUGUUUUGAUUUUACAUAUGCCUUUUUCUAAACUUCAUAUCAAUAAGCUAUUUUGUGUCACUGAUCACUGAAAAUAAUUUGAGUUUAGUUAGAUUUUUUUUCCUGCAGGUUCAAAAGGUUUUCUUUUGAUCCAUAGUGCAUCUUUGCAGUGCAGACAGGUAGACGAUGGUUGGAUGAAUGAGGGACCUAGAAAGAAAUUUUCUGUCAAAAUCUUGUAUUGAAUUUUGUCUCCCAUAUGCUGGUAGUGGCACAACUGAAGCCAUAGCAUUAGAAGCAACCGGAUACCCCAUAUCCUGUCUGAGAAAGUGCACCCUGAUCAUGCUACCCAAGAAGAAUACCACAACCUUUAAGGGGAAGUAUCUAUAUUUCUAUAUAUUCAGUGAUCAUGUCACGGAACUUAGAUAUGAAAGCAUAAAUAAAUAAUCUGAGCAUCACUGGAAUUCUCAGCAAGCAUCAGCACAACAAAACCCCCGAUGGGUCUCAUGACCCAAAAGAGCAGCUGGACUUAUGCAUCUUUUAUUCUUGGUGGCUACUGCUUGGGACUUGGAAUUGGGCUGGAUGUCCUGUGGUGAAGCUUUCACAAGAGAGAAACAACUCUCUCUUUUCUCUUGACAUUGGGUUAGUGGAUGAGUUCAGCUGAGGAGGUUGGGCAGUCACCCAAAUUGGAGCAGAGAUAUAAAUAUUAGCCAAGUAUUCUCAUGGGACAUCCAUAGAAUUAAAAAUUGGCUUCCUUGAUUGGUCUCAGAGCUUGGCAGACCUAUCUAUUUUCUCAGGCAUUAAAUGAGCAUGGUUUGGAUUAUCUCCUUAAAUAUUUUCUUUCUUUUUGGUAAAGUAUAGAAAUUGGGGAAUGACUUAAAAAUAAAGAAAGAAAAUAAAAUGGAAAGUUUACAUCCUGAAUCCAUAUUUAUCGUAGAAGUAAGGGAUAGGAAAGAUUUCAAAAGGUCACCUACUUUGUUUUCCUAUCCCCAGGCAGGAUUAAUGACACACGAAGUGGAGUUCCCACGCUGUGGUGCACUGCUGAUACAUGAAUCCCUUAAAAGUGAAUGUAGUAGUGCUGCAUAGAAUUACAACAUUCUGGGGCAAAUCUUCAGCGCACAGGAAAUACUGUUUUCAGGAGAUCAUUUGGAAUAGGUUUGCUGAGCCUUCAGCCAAGGGAGGGAGGCGUGACUGAGGCUGUUCAGCCUCGAAGGAUAGCGAGGGCAGCUUAGUGCUGGAUGCAUCAGGAUGAAUAUCCUGUUGUUCAGCUGGGCUUUCUGCCCUUGAUAGCUUUCCUGAUUUGCCUCUUUUAGCUAGAGCUGAAGCUACAGACCAUGGGUUUCUCAUCAAUUCUGGCUAAAUUUGUCUGUGUCCAUUUUCUGGCACUGAAUCCUGGAGUGGAUUAGGAUCACUAUCAUUAUUGUACUCUGCCACACUCACAUCUAAGUGGUCACUUGCAGGACAGCAGCCUAUUGAUGGCAACAGACUCCAAAAAUAUGCACAAGAGAGAGAAAAGGUUGUUUGGUAAGCUGAAACAUAUUCAGAUACCAUUUUAAUAGCUUAAUAGAAAAGGCAACUGAGUCCCAAGGCCUGGGUACAUUCCUUGUUACAACUGAGUUUAAUUCAACAGAUUUGAACCACUCUAUAGCUGCAGCCCCUCCCUGUUCCUUCUUGAAGAAUUCCUUUAUGCGUGAUCUCUCUGCAUAAAGUCAUCUUUUCAUCCUGGCCCUCCCUGCCUGUGGCUUUUUAUGUGAGGUGUAGAACAACUUUCUCCAGGAGUUUUCCACAAUCAGGUCCUAGCCUUUGUGUCUAGCUUGUCAUGAGACUCAGAAGACCUGCGCUACGAAGAGAUUCAUACAAGCAGCUUUUGCAGAUGGUGUGAUUUAGUGCUGGUCACUUGAAUGCUGAUAACUUCCUGCUGUGACCUUCAAUCUGUUCAUAGUGCCUGCUUUGGAAACACCCCUAGUCCUAGAAUCUGAAUUUCCCUCAAGGUUGCUAGGGCAAGGACUACACAGGUGGAGUAAAAAAACAUGUUUUUUGGGACACAGGGGUUGCCUUUGUUAGCCAAAUGAAGACAGAGCAGGAGUUGAGAAAGACAGACUUUGUGGGAUGGAGAUGUGGAAUGAGGUCUCUAUCUGGUGAAAGGAUGUAGGAGAUGAUAGGGUAAUAACAAGUCAUGUGGGUAGACAAGAAUUCAUAUCACCCACUUAGGAUGGCCAGGAAAGCAGUCUGUGCAGUACUGGAGAUAACACACAGAGCUGCUAGACCAUGAGAGUGCUGGGUGCUUGUUGAUGCAAGAGUGAAACUUUGGCUUUUGUGGGUUUGCUGAUAACACUGAUAUAUAUCAGUGUUAUCAGUAUGUUAUCAGUAUGCCAUAUGUUAUCAUGUGCCAACCAUGCACGGGAUGGCAUUACGACAGAUCCCUUAUUAAAAUAAAGAAGCUGACCAAAAAAGACCUUUUGAAAAGUUGUUGUGCUGUGCCUGAAAACUUCUUCUCAGGAAAAUAAGGUAUCUUAUGGACAUUCAAGUUUUUUUUUGUAUCUUCUUUGUAUCAUAACACUGUAAUUAAUGGAUGCUGAAAUGUAAACAUUGAAAUGUAACCUACAGUGGAGCUGGAUAAACCUUGAAUAUGGUUUGUAACAAUGGGUGGAAUCUUAAAGACUUGUUUGUUUCAUCAAUUUGCAACCUGUUGUCUUCAAUAAACAGUUGAAUGAGGCAGAUGGGGGACAAGAGACACUCCUAAGACCUUUGGCCUGACAGGCAAAUAUUUCCCUUGGAAAUAAAACCAGAAAUCUGAUAGCUUUCAUCCCUGUGAAGAGAUCAUCCUCAGGGAAUCAAUUUAUAAAGGCAUAAUAUAACAUCCUAGUACCUUAGUACCUUAGACUUACUUUAAGUCUGAAGAUGUAGAUUUAUGAGCUUAGCUUUUGAUGGUGACUACUUUAGUGGGUAUUUUGUGAGGAAACACAAGGUAGUUUUGACCAUGACUAUUGUCAUGUCUUCUCUCCCAUAGUGCAGUGCUGGGUUUCCACACCUGUUGCAGGGGUAGAAAGAGCUAUGCCAAGAGAUGAUGCCUGUUAGAUACUUUUCCUGUGAGACACAAAACUAACAGAAACAGAGCUGAUUUUGACUAGCACUUGAAUGACCCUGAAAUUGUAUCCUUCUGUUACAAGGAGUUUUUUCAUUGGCCCUUUCUAUAGCUGCAUAUCAUGAUUUGCCAGAGCAUUUUGGCGACCUGGUCUCCCAUUUAGUUUAGCAUGGUGGUGUUCAGAAGACAAGUUAUCCUCCAAGAACUGCAAUAUGUCUGCUAUUAGAGAACACUGUAAUUAAUGGAUGCUGAAAUGUAAACAUUGAAAUGUAAUAUAUAAUAAUUCCCUUUUCUGAAUUUCUGAACCACAGCAGAUUGGGUCAGGUUUUAUGAUGUCCUCAAGGUACCAAAGCAUUUGCGGGCAUAUAAAGAUAAGUCCUUUCCUAAAUCUCGUGUCAGCUGAUUUAGAGGAAGAAAUCUGCAUUGAAAAUAUUAUAAUUUUUGAGUGCAAAGGCAAAAAAAUCUACAAGCUUGUGCAUGGUCCUUCUGAAAGUGUCACCAAUUGCCAGGGAUUCAGGUGCUCAGAAAUGGCAUCGCACUUCUCAUAUUGGGGCACUUCCUGCUUUGCUUCUCUUGUGUCACUACAUGGCCUGCAGAGAGCUGUCACUUUCUAGAUUCUCAGGAAAAUUAAUAAUGAAUAUGGUGUCAUUUAACAUUGAGAUAUUUACCCCUGCAAGUUAGAAAUUUUUCAGUACCUUCAGAAGAGUUGUGUGCUGCCUGAAAACCGUGAGAGGGAGGAAUAACUUUAUUAUAUAUGUGUCUGGAAUGUGAGCAUAUGGUACAGAUAAAUAUUUUUAACAUAGAAAGUAUUGUUAUAUUAAAAUAUGACCCACACUUUAAUGAUGGUUUUGUAAUCUGUCUAGCCUAGGUUACUGUUAGGGAAGAAUGCAUUUAAAUGUAUGGAUAAAAUUUCAUUGCUGAAACAACUUUCUGAAGUUGGUCUGGGACUGUGAAUUACAUUUUUUGAGUAGCUAAGAAUAUCAACACACACUGAACCUACCUUUUGCUCCAGAUGGAAGGAAAAUGUUUUUAAUGUUUUUCACAUAGAUUGGUUGUAUUUCAACAAGAAAUGUUAGGAAAGAAAAUUGAAAAUUAGUUAUUACAGAAAGGAAAGUGAAUAAUUAAAAGAAGAAAGUUAAUAAACAACUAAAUUAUAGCUGGAAACCUCUGUGAUGAGCUUCAUAUCAGAUAACACUACCACUUUGCCUUUUUAAAAAAGUGCUAAGAGCUUAGGGAAAAGUGCAAAAUACACCACCUUAACCCAGUUGAUUUGAGUCUUUAACUACCAAUUGAAAAUUAAUUUAUAUUUUUCUUUCAGUUCUAGGAUAGACUUGAAUGAGAAUACCUUAUUAUUUGUGUUUCAAAAGAUCUCUGAUGCAGAGGUCUGAAUAGACCACAAGAGUCUACCAAGGGCUUCUCCUCAAUGCUUCCCCUCCCUUCUUCCACUAGGUAUCCCUUUGGUCACUCUUCAUCAUAGUUCAGUCAUAGCAGAGAUGGGAGAAAGGGAAAUGACCUUGGCAUUAGCCAGUGAUUUAAAGAAAUAUUGCCACAGGAAGUAGAUUCCUGUAUUUCACAAAUGGCUCCCAGCCUAAACCUCAGAUCCUUCAAUCCUUCAGCUUCAUAUGAGAAACUCUUUCUCCUGUGUGGAGCCACUUGAAUGCAUUGGCACAUGCAAAGAAAAAGAAAUCAAUGGUCUGGAAAAGAUUUUCUCUGCUGAAAAAUGUGUCAUAAGAUGCUGCCAAUAGCUCAGCUGCAUAAGCAUGAGGAGCACAGCCCUAAAUAUCUGCUGAAAGCACACAGACUUUUGUUGUGCUGGUUGCUUGGCACUUGUGCAGCUGAGCUCCUGCAGAAGUCUGGGUAUGAGAUGUCAGAGGAGAGAAUAGGACUGAUCUCCUUGGUGCUAUGAAUGAAACUUUUGCCUUCUGAUUAAAAGUCUUUGGGUUUCUAUCAAGUUUGGAUUAUUCUGUCCCCUAAAAUCCCAACAAGUUUAGUGAAAAUUUCACUACGAGGCAACUUUCACUUCUAUAAACACAGUCUUGAGUGUCAAGUGUGAAUUUGAGUUGAACAGGCAAACCCUGAGGCACAGAUCAAAAAUAUGAUUUUUGUGGAUGUUUCUUCAUUUACUCCCAUGCUUUUUGGGACCGAGGCUCAUUAUAUACUCAACUACUAGGAAGAUAUGGCUGAGAAUUUUGAAACAAGAAAUUGCUUUGUCCCCUAUCCCAACAAAGGAAGCUCUGGUGGUGACUGAAGUAAAAUGUGACCAGACAGUUUGGGGAUUGGAGAAUAUGUAAACUAAACAUCAUGGUUAAACUUCAUAAUGACAGCUGUACACUUCUUCCAGCAGUUAUGUGGCAGGUGAGCCAGGUAUCCUGGUAGAUAGGUGAUUUCUGCCACACAGCAUAUAUGAAAGCCACAGGACUUUUCCAAGUGGAAAUCCUUCAAGCUCAUCUGUAACUCUGUCACAAAAUAUUUUUAUGCAAAUGUUGAGUAUUAUAUACAUUUCAAAUGCAUCUUCUUAUAGGCUAAUUAAGCCUACUCUAUUUCUUAAUAUCCCUGGCUUCACUAGGAAAUGGAUGCCUGUAUUUCCUUGAAGAUCUGAUUUUUGCUGCCCUAAUGACAUCUCCAUAGACCCAGAAGAAAGAUAUUAAUUUUAUGUGUGAGAAAUUGAAUUUGCAGCUAGAUUUAUCCAUCUUCUUUUCAUGUCAGGCAGACCUUCCUUUUUUCUCACUAGUUUGAUUUUUGGAAGCUAAUGAAAACAAGAUAAUUGUGAAAAUCUAUUGCUUACCUCACAGCUAUGAUAUCAGUGUGAUGUGUAACAAAUUGCUUUGGGGGUGAGAGAAUUUAAUUCUCUACUUUUUUGGUUUUGUUUUUGCUCUGCCAAAAUCUUCAGAAAUAAGAGUUAUAGUGUAACACCAUAUCAUUUAGUGCUCUGAGAUCAAACAGUUGCUUUCCUGCUGUGAAAUUUCCAUUGUGACGGCAAUAAACUGUUUCUUGUAAUUGCAUAUAUGUCUUGUGGAAUCAUGGAUUUAUUGCUUUAAUUUUUGGAGUGAGAGUAUAGCUUUUCAAGAAUGAUUAGUUAAAACAAAAAAGGAAGAUAACCUAGGUGGGCUUGAGAUGUCCUUGACUUGCCUGGAAAAGAUUCUCUGUUAAAUUUCUGUGUCAAGAAUCAGCCUGUAGAUGUCCCCCAACACACAUUGUGCUACAUCCAGUGUUCAGUUCUGUUAAAAGCAGCUAUCACAUUUAUAAAUUACCAACAACCCAAGUUAAAGAGAGCCAGAGAGAUGAAAAGCUGCUCAGGAAUGAGCACCACAACUAUCCUGUGGGAGGACAGUUGAAGUAAUGGCAGACUGAAGAACAUCUCAGACCAAGAGAAACACAAGUUUAAAAAGAGCUGAUAAAAAGAAAUAGAAAGGAGUCUUAUAGAAGACUGAAGACAUCAGAAAAAUGGAGCCAAUAAUGACACACUUCACUGUGACUCUAGAUAUGGAAAUGAUAAAUUUUCCUCUGGCUUAGUGAGCCAGAACUGACCUUAGCACUGUAAAUAUGUGGUGAAAUGAAUGCUUUAGGUCCACAGAGUGACAGAUUUAUCUUUGACAAAAUCAUCAGGUUAGGGGGAGAAAAUACAGCUCAGUCCAAAAUCAUCCUGAUGAAAUGAGGAAUUUUGGUGACCUUUACCUAUGUUUAGCUAAUGUAAUUAACUGUUGAAUAGUGCCUGCAUCAGUGGGACCUGGCCCUGCCUCUGUAACCUACAGUGGAGCUGGAUAAACCCUGAAUAUGGUUUGUAACAAUGGGUGGAAUCUUAAAGACUUGUUUGUUUCAUCAAUUUGAACCUGUUGUCUUCAAUAAACAGUUGAUUUCUUAUCACAGAA